rnacentral:rRNA from 1 species
UGAGGAAUAUUGGACAAUGGGCGCAAGCCUGAUCCAGCCAUGCCGCGUGCAGGAUGACGGUCCUAUGGAUUGUAAACUGCUUUUUGUACAGGAAGAAACAGUUCUACGUGUAGAACCUUGACGGUACUGUAAGAAUAAGGAUCGGCUAACUCCGUGCCAGCAGCCGCGGUAAUACGGAGGAUCCAAGCGUUAUCCGGAAUCAUUGGGUUUAAAGGGUCCGUAGGCGGUUAGAUAAGUCAGUGGUGAAAGCCCAUCGCUCAACGGUGGAACGGCCAUUGAUACUGUCUGACUUGAAUUAUUAGGAAGUAACUAGAAUAUGUAGUGUAGCGGUGAAAUGCUUAGAGAUUACAUGGAAUACCAAUUGCGAAGGCAGGUUACUACUAAUGGAUUGACGCUGAUGGACGAAAGCGUGGGUAGCGAACAGGAUUAGAUACCCAAGUAGUCCCUGAGCGGGCUGGCAAGGCGCAU